rnacentral:rRNA from 1 species
AAAAACAUCGCCUCUUGCAUAACCACAGUAUAAGAGGUCCCGCCUGCCCAGUGACAACUUAGUUCAACGGCCGCGGUAUUUUGACCGUGCAAAGGUAGCGUAAUCACUUGUCUUUUAAAUGAAGACCUGUAUGAAUGGCAUAACGAGGGCUUAACUGUCUCCUUCCCCUGGUCAAUGAAAUUGAUCUCCCCGUGCAGAAGCGGGGAUAAAACCAUAAGACGAGAAGACCCUAUGGAGCUUUAGACACACAGGUGGCCCAUGUCAAAUACCCCCAGCUAAGGGCCUGAACUAAAUGGAACCUGCCUUGAUGUCUUCGGUUGGGGCGACCAUGGGGAAUACAAAACCCCCACGUGGAAAGGGAGCACACCCCUAAGUUACUUCUUCUCCCGCAAGCCAGAGCAACAGCUCUAACAAGCAGAAAUUCUGACCAAACUGAUCCGGUAAAACCGAUCAACGAACCAAGUUACCCUAGGGAUAACAGCGCAAUCCCCUUUUAGAGCCCAUAUCGACAAGGGGGUUUACGACCUCGAUGUUGGAUCAGGACAUCCUAAUGGUGCAGCCGCUAUUAAGGGUUCGUUUGUUCAACGAUUAAAGUCCUACGUGAUCUGAGU